rnacentral:RNase_P_RNA from 1 species
UGAGACCUCUUGAUGGCCGCGGCCGUGAUCUUCAUUGGGAUCGGCUGAGGAACUUCCGGGCUCCAUAGAGCACGAUGGCGGAUAACGUCCGCCCAGGGUGACCUGAGAGAUAGCGCAACAGAGAACAGACCGCCCGUCCUCGACGGGUAAGGGUGAAACGGCGGUGUAAGAGACCACCGGGCCUCUGGUAACAGUAGGUCGCAUGGCAAGCCUCAUCGGGAGCAAGGCCAAGCAGAUGGCGGUAAGGGCUGCUCGCCCGUGUCAUCGGGUAGGCUGCUAGAGCCUGGCGGUAACGUCAGGUCGAGAUGGAUGGCCAUCCGUGCCGUGCGUUCGCGCACGGCNNNNNNNNNNAGAACCCGGGGUAUAAGAGGUCUCAUUUU